CGGCGAGUGAAGAGGGAUUAGCCCAGCACCGAAGCCUGCGGCAGUUUUGCUGUUAGGCAAUGUGGUGUUCGGGUCGGCUAGCGGGAUCGUAACUCCACUCGAAGUCCAGCAUUGAGUAUGGUUAUUAUUGGAUUUGGCCCAUAGAGGGUGAGAGGCCCGUACGAGUGGAGGUGCAGACAUGUAAUACGGUUCACCAGGUCGGCCUUAGAGUCGGGUUGUUUGAGAUUGCAGCCCAAAGUGGGUGGUAAACUCCAUCCAAGGCUAAAUACAGGCACGAGUCCGAUAGCGAACAAGUACCGUGAGGGAAAGUUGAAAAGUACUCUGAAGAGAGAGUAAACAGUACGUGAAACCGCAUGCAGGUAAACGGGUGGCGUCAAACCGCGAGCCCGGAGAAUUCAGCUGACUAGAUUGUAUUGGCAUUGCAUUAAUGGUCUGCUCUCUUUUUGUGAGAGUAGAGUGAGGUAUGAGGUGUGUGUGGUGUGUAUGUGAGUUGAGUGUUACGCACUUGUGGUGUAGCAUUUACUCUAGCAUGCCUUAGCCGCCCUCUUCCAAGCUAUACGUGCCGGGUGGGUGCCGGAGUAUGCCAUUAGUGUAUAGGGUCAACUAGUCAGUGCAAUUUCUCUGUGGUGAACAUCACGACCGAUGGAAUUGCCAGUCUAUCGUGGUCAAGUCGUGCUUAUGUGACUAUUAGAAGGGUGGCUUGUCUACCUCUCUCUAAUGUGGUUACGUAGGCGUGAUCGCAGGUGGAGCGAGUAAACGGCGUAGUGUUACUUCGGUAUUGCUACGUGCUAUCGUGUACUUACCAUCAACAAAUUGUUGUGUAAUAGUGUGCUUUAAUUACUUAAUAAUUUGGCGGACUGCGAUGGUAAAAAUGACUGUGCAAGGCAUCGGCUUUAUCCACCUCACACAUUUACGUUUAUGCGUAUUUGUGCUUAUGUAUCUGGCAGACUUACGCACAUAAGUCUUUAUAGAGAUUCAUUGCCGUGUAUAUACAUUAUGCGUGAUUGUCGUUUUGCCUACAAAAAAGUAGGUGCGGCASUGGUAUAGUGUAUUUUUAAAAAUAUACGGUUUUUAAAUGUUAUCUCUAAUGCAUAUGAUACAGUGGGUGUAAUAGUCAGUGAUGCUGUGGUAGACGAGCUACCCGACCCGUCUCGAAACACGGACCAAGGAGUUUAACAUGUGUGCGAGUCAAAGGGCUUUACGAAACCCCAAGGCGCAGUGAAAGUAAAAAUUGUAUUUAUUUACAAUGAGGUGAGAUCUUACUGUGCUUUAUUAUUAUUAUAAAAGUAGAGUGAGCGCAUCACCGGCCCGUCCCAUGAUGUAGUCAUUAGCAUUGAUAUAUGUGUGUGUGUAUAUUACUACUACUACUACAAAUAUCAGCUAAUGCAUCAUCGGGGCGGAGCAUGAGCACACACGUUGAGACCCGAAAGAUGGUGAACUAUGCUUGCGUAGGUUGAAGCCAGAGGAAACUCUGGUGGAGGACCGUAGCGAUUCUGACGUGCAAAUCGAUCGUCAAACGUGAGUAUAGGGGCGAAAG
rnacentral:rRNA from 1 species